CAGCAUAUUACUGCCUCAACAUCAGUUAUCGCUCAGAACUGGGAGCUACCCUGGAGUUCUUGCAGAGGUGCCUAUUCAAGAUCAAUCCGGACAAUGGGACUAGAGUGGAGAGGAAGGAAUACAAACAAAAACAGCACUCGAUAAAGAUAAAGAUUUCAUGAAGUUUGCUGACGACACGACCGUCAUCGGCC